rnacentral:tmRNA from 1 species
GGGGGCGUAACGGCUUCGACGGGAUGGAGCCGAAGUGAUGAGGCGUGCCGGGUUCCGAGCUCCCGUUAAACGAUCGGAAAAACACAACUGCCAAUCAGCAGUUUGCAUACGCUGCCUAAUUAAAUAGGUAGCCGCUCGCCGGUGACGAGCCUGCGCGUCAUCGAUCGAGCGUCAUUUUUGCAGGAUAGGGUCCAAGCCUCCGUCUGGGGCGAAAGGCCCGAGAUCAAUCAGGCUGGGUUGCGUGACCGUUUGCCGGUUCGAGGUCCGCAGCCGAAAUUCCGGACCGGAUACGCACGUAGUCUUGUCACGGCGGGCCAUUUCGGACGCGGGUUCAACUCCCGCCGCCUCCACCA